AAACCAGGCAAUAUUAUUUCUUAUCUAUGCAAAUGGAAUAGUAGUUUCCACUUUUGUCUAGGUCUCCUCAAGACUUAAUCUGUCGGGAAUUUUAUGUGCCCAUGGUCGGCUUCAUCUGUCUUCCAGACAGAGUGAUAAAAAGUGGAAUCACAGCUAAUGGAGUCCCAUGCAGGUUACUGAUAGCUCCAAAGACUGGCCUAGAAACUGGCAAGCACUUUACAAGUUACUGGCAACAGAAAAAUCUAAAAAAUGGCAUCAGAUUUUCAAAGUAGAAGGGACAUGUCUUGGAUGUGAAAGAUAAAAGGUAUAAUAUGGAUGGAAAAUAUUUAUAUAAAGUCUUCAGUAUUUGACAAUUGUCCUUAGGAGCUCCUAAAAUUUCAAAGUAAGGUGCAAAUUAUAUGUAAUUGAAGGGAAUCUGACAUAAUACAGCAUAUGGAAAGGCAAUGGAAUUGGAAGUUGGGUUUUAAUUCCCAUUCUACCCUUAACCAGCCUUGCGAUCUUGGUGAAGUCACUUAUUACCAGUACACACACACACACACACACACACACACACACACACACACUCCAGGAAGACCAGCUAAGUGACUUACACCCCAGAAAUAUUAUCCUUUGUUCAAAG
rnacentral:lncRNA from 1 species